rnacentral:SRP_RNA from 1 species
GCCGGGCGUAGUGGCGGACGCCUGUAGUCCCAGCUACUCGGGAGGCUGAGGCAGGAGAAUGGCGUGAACCCGGGAAGCCGAGCUUGCAGUAAGCCGAGAUUGCACCACUGCACUCCAGCCUGGGCGACAGAGACAGACUCCGUCUCAAAAAAAAAGAAAAAGAAAACAAAAAAACAACAAUAGAGAAAAUUAAUAUAACCAAAAGUUGGUGUUUUUUUGUGUUGUCUUUUGAGAUGGAGUCUCGCUCUGUCGCCCAGGCUGGAGUGCAGUGGCGCGAUCUCGGCUCACGGCAAGCUCCACCUUCCGGGUUCACGCCAGUCUCCUGCCUCA